rnacentral:tRNA from 1 species
GCCCAGAUGGUGGAAUUGGUAGACACGCUGGUUUCAGGUACCAGUGCCGUCACAGGCAUGGAAGUUCAAGUCUUCUUCUGGGCA